CAAAUAAGUAAACGAUAGAGAUGAGUGCCUGAAAAGUGAGACUGAAGAAGAGGAAAAGAGAGUACGCAAGGAAGAGUGAGAAUGAGCAACUGAGACUACCGAACCCCUUCUCUUUCUCUUCCCUCCCCCCAAAGGCCACAGGCCACAGGCCACAGGCCACAAUCUGAUGCAAACUUGCUAACAACUUACACAACAAAUGAAGCAGAGGAUUGAACAACCUCUUCGUCAUAGUUGUUCAACCCUCUUCCUCAUCAAAUAUGUUUUGCUUGGAUUAAUCCUGUUUUUUGGCGUCUUUUGUUUCUUUUUUGGCUCUAUUCCUUACUCUCUCACACUUGACCCCCACAACUAUCACUCCGUUGUCGCCGAAGACGGGGUCGAUCCCUUCUUCAGUGACACUGUUAUCAAACAUGAUGAUUCUGCUGGCACUUUCGAUCUUCUACACCUCGAUUCUCUGCUCCCUCAGAGUAUACCUAUAUGUGACAUGAAAUAUUCAGAGUUGAUACCAUGCUUGGAUAGACAUCUAAUAUACCAGUUACGGUUAAAGGUAAAUCUUACAUUAAUGGAGCACUAUGAACGUCACUGCCCACCUCAGGAGCGAUGUUACAAUUGUCUUAUUCCACCUCCAAACGCUUACAAGAUACCUGUCAGAUGGCCUGCUAGCAGAGAUGAAGUUUGGAAAGCAAAUAUCCCUCACACACACCUCGCACAAGAGAAAUCUGACCAGCACUGUAUGGUUGUGAAUGGUGAAAAGAUUAACUUUCCUGGUGGUGGAACCCAUUUUCAUGAUGGUGCUGAUAAGUAUAUAAUUGCUCUUGCAAGGAUGCUCAAGAUUCCAGGUGAUAAACUUAGCAAUGGUGGCAAUAUCAGAACCGUUCUUGAUGUGGGAUGUGGAGUGGCAAGCUUUGGUGCAUAUCUUCUAUCCCAUGAUAUUAUGGCCAUGUCAUUAGCACCUAAUGACGUACAUGAAAAUCAAAUUCAAUUUGCAUUGGAGAGAGGAAUUCCGUCUACUCUUGGUGUUUUGGGAACUAGAAGACUCUCAUACCCCAGCAGGUCAUUCGAAAUGGCCCAUUGCUCUAGAUGUAGGAUAGAUUGGCUUGACAGAGAUGGGAUUCUUUUGUUGGAACUUGAUAGAUUACUAAGACCAGGGGGAUAUUUUGUGUACUCUUCUCCUGAAGCAUAUGCGCAAGAUCCAGAAAAUAGAAAAAUCUGGAAUUCAAUGUACAGCCUUCUAAGGAGGAUGUGCUGGAGAGUUGUUUCAAAGAAAGACCAAACUGUAAUAUGGGUGAAGCCAUUAAGCAACAGCUGCUAUUUGAAGAGAGAACCUGGAACUACACCACCACUAUGUAGUUCAGAUGAUAAUCCAGAUAAAAUGUGGAAUGUUUCAAUGAAAACAUGCAUCACCCCCUAUUCAGCAAAGGUGCAUAAGGGAAAAUCGAGUGGUUUACUUCCUUGGCCACAGAGGCUUACUGCACCUCCACCUCGUUUGGAAGAUAUUGGCAUUAGUGCAGAGGAAUAUCAAUCAGACACUGUAACGUGGCGUUUGAGAGUGAGUGAGUAUUGGAACCUGAUGAAACCCGUUGUACAAAAAAACACGUUACGUAAUGUCAUGGACAUGAACUCCGAUCUUGGCGGAUAUGCUGCUGCUUUGCAUGAUAGAGAUGUUUGGGUGAUGAAUGUUGCUCCCAUUCGUUCUGCUUCGAAGCUGAGGAUCAUCUAUGAUCGAGGUCUCAUUGGAACUGUGCAUGAUUGGUGUGAAGCAUUUUCUACAUAUCCACGUACGUAUGAUCUACUGCAUGCUUGGAUGGUGUUCUCAGAGGUUCUGGAACGGGGCUGUAGUGCAGAAGAUCUUUUGAUCGAAAUGGAUAGAAUUCUGAGACCAGAGGGAUUUGUCAUCAUCAGGGACCAUCCUUCAGUCAUAAACUAUUUGCACAAAUAUUUGAUUGCCUUGCAUUGGGAUGGAUGGGGUUUGGAGGUGGAACCAAGGGUAGAUACUUUGUCACUGAGUGAAGAAAGAGUUCUAAUUGCACGUAAGAAGUUGUGGCGAUAUGGGGUUACCAGCGAUAUGGGGUUACCACCUAAAGCAUUUUGUAAAAUUACAUCCUGAUUUUGUGGCCGACAAACAUCAACUGCGGUGAGAAAACUACUUGGGAAGAUUCAACUUGAAAGCAAUGGCUAUUAAUGAACCGAAGGUGGUGCAAAGGUUGGGUGGAGCAAAGUGGAGGCAUCCAUAAUGAGGCACAGAGCAUGGGAAGGUCAGAGAAUGAAAAUAUGAGAAGAGUUGAAGAGAUUGAAAAAGAAGCUUAAAGAACAAAGGAACUUAGUUAGGCUUACAAUUAAGUUAGGUUUACUUAUGGUUGUAUUGCUUGUCAUUGUAAUUUGGAAGUAAGUGAUGUAAUUUUGGGCACAAUAAUCAAAAAAAUUUGCUUAACAUAA